AUGCAUGUGGCUACCCGGGCUCGUCUGAGAUCGAUGUGAAGAAGAGAAGUCCCAAUGCUCAUGCUAAAUUAAACUUGCCGCUAGUGUUGCAGCUUAGCCCUUUGUACCUCUUUCCAUGGCUGAUCUGUGUCAAUUCAACGGCUACAUUU
rnacentral:snoRNA from 1 species